GCCCGGGUGGCGGAACUGGUAGACGCGCCGGACUCAAAAUCCGGUGGUAGCAAUACCGUGGGGGUUCGAUUCCCUUUCCGGGUA
rnacentral:tRNA from 1 species